AUGCAUGUCUAAGUACGAGCCUCUGUACAAAGUGAAACUGCGAAUGGCUCAUUAAAUCAGUUAUGGUUCCUUUGAUCGUUACCCCUUACUUGGAUAACUGUGGUAAUUCUAGAGCUAAUACAUGCGAAACAGCGCUGACCUCACGGGAUGCGUGCUUUUAUUAGGACCAAGACCAAUCCGGGUCUUCUGGCCCGGUCCCCCUGGCGAACUCUGGAUAACUUAGCGGAUCGCACGGCCUCGGCGCCGGCGACGACUCUUUCAAGUGUCUGCCCUAUCAACUUUCGAUGGUACGUUAUGCGCCUACCAUGGUUGUAACGGGUAACGGGGAAUCAGGGUUCGAUUCCGGAGAGGGAGCCUGAGAAACGGCUACCACU
rnacentral:rRNA from 1 species